GACGAACGCUGGCGGCGUGCUUAACACAUGCAAGUCGAGCGAGGCCCCUCUUUCGGGAGGGUGUCCUAGCGGCGAACGGGUGAGUAACACGUGGGCAACCUGCCCUCAGCUCUGGGAUAACUCCGGGAAACCGGGGCUAAUACCGGAUACGACCUCCACGGGCAGCUGCGGAGGUGGAAAGUUUUUCGGCUGAGGAUGGGCCCGCGGCCUAUCAGCUAGUUGGUGGGGUAGUGGCCCACCAAGGCGACGACGGGUAGCCGGCCUGGGAGGGGGACCGGCCACAAUGGGACUGAGAGACGGCCCAGACUCCUACGGGAGGCAGCAGUGGGGAAUAUUGCGCAAUGGGCGAAAGCCUGACGCAGCGACGCCGCGUGAGGGACGAAGGCCUUCGGGUUGUAAACCUCUUUCAGCAGGGACGAAGCGAAAGUGACGGUACCUGCAGAAGAAGCACCGGCCAACUACGUG
rnacentral:rRNA from 1 species